rnacentral:lncRNA from 1 species
GAGAUCUGAAUAGCAGAAGAGCACCAAUCUCAGGCCCCUCUCUAACUCUAAUGCUAGCCCUCUCCGCCGGGAGACACAUUGGGUAAUGACGGCGGUGAAGUCUCCUCAACAAGCAGUGGCUUCCUCAACGCUCUGUUCCAUCCAUGGAUCUCUCCUCACUCUGGCCACCCUAACCCUAAUCUCAUUUACCUACAUUUCCCUCAAAUCCCUCCACUCUCCUUUUCAUGACCCUUCCUUCAAUUCCUCGCCUCCUCCUCAGGUACUACGUCUUCACUUUUACUUCUUCGGAUGGUUCUGACUUCUCAGGCAUUUAACUGUUUUGAUUGUGUUGUUUUUGUGUGGGUGAACUGUGAAGGUGAUUAGCCGAGUGGAACAUUUGGUUGAGGAGGAGGAUUCGCCAUUUUCGGAUAUUUAUCAUUCGCCGGAGAUUUUUAGUUGAAUUAUAGGGAGAUGGAGAAGAAUUUCAAGGUGUAUAUAUAUCCUGAUGGGGAUCCCAAUACGUUUUACCAGACGCCCAGGAAGCUCACCGGCAAGUACGCCAGCGAGGGUUACUUCUUCCAGAAAUAUUCGAGAUAGUCGAUUCCGUACGAAUGAUNNNNNNNNNNNNNNNNNNNNNNNNNNNNNNNNNNNNNNNNNNNNNNNNNNNNNNNNNNNNNNNNNNNNNNNNNNNNNNNNNNNNNNNNNNNNNNNNNNNNGUCCUCUUUUCUAUUUGUUUCAUGGAAAUCCUUUCCUUCCAUCUCCCUUUUUGGUUACAAUUAAAAAAUUGCACUUCUACGGCAAAAAAAGGACUUAGGGUGCAUUUAGUAGGUAGGAAUUGGAACAGAAAUAGGAUGGUUAUAGAGGUAAACCACAAUCCCAUGCAGAAGAGAGGAAUCAAAAUCCUAUUAAAAGUGAGAUUUGGUUUUCAUAUCAAUAAAUUUUUUAUUCUCUUUCUCAUUCCAAAAAAUAAUCCAAACACCGUAUUGGAUAAGAAUGAAAUUUUCAUUCUCUAUUCCAGUGUUCUGAAUGGGAAUCCAUUGUUUUUCUUCAUGAUACAGCUACAACAAUGUCUAAAAAAAUUGAUCUUGUACGGUAUGAAUUGAUGGUAGCAAAGAUGGUCUCUCAUUUGGAAGACAAUAGCCAUAAUCUUUGUUUAUAUGAUUUUUCUAAUAUUCUUUGAUAAUAAAAUAGCAGAUAAAUAAUUCCAUUAUAAUUUAUCAUUUGAAAUAGUUAGAGAAGUUUUUUCUUUUAUAAUGAAAGAUACUAAUAUAAUAACACACAAGAUAUAAAGAAAAAACACUAAGAAUUGCUAUUAGAGCUUGGAUGAAACCAAGGUUGUUUGUUAUUGGGUUUACUAGCUAGAAAAAAAAAAGAAAAAAGAAAAAAAAAAAAGAUGAAAAAGGUUUGCUAGUCUGGACUAUAGUUACCAAUAAGAAGUUUGAUUGGAUUAACAUUUUUGGGAUAUGACAAUGCUAAUGUAUGGGAUAUCUUGUGGUAACAAUAUUUGGAUAUUACUCUUGAUAAACAAAACCCAAAGAUAUCGAUGGUAAAGAGUGGGUAAGGUUUAAUAGAAAAACAUGUAAUUUUAUUCAUUUAUGUUUUGUUAAAGCUUAGAAAACUUCACCACCAAGAAGACAUACAAAAAUCAUAUGGAAAACAUUGGACAAGUACAUGACAAACAGUUUGAAAAUUUACUUUAUUUGAAGAAGAUACCUUUUUGCUUUGAUUAUUAACUAGGUAUGUUUAUGAAUAAUCACAUGCAUGUUUGUGAUAACAUAAUAACAUAUUUGUUGGGGGUGAAGUGCCUAUCCAUCCUCAAUAAGGCUCUUUUAUGCAAAUGGAGUUGGAGGUUUGUAAUUGAGAGAUAGGCCUUUUGGAAUCAAGUGAUAAGGGGAAAGUAUGGGGAGGAGCAAAGGGAUGGUGUACUAAGGAAGUGAGGGAUGACCAUGGUGUGGGGUGGUGGAAAAUAAUUAGGAAGGAGUGGUACUUGGUAAGUAGUAGACUUUCCUUUUUGGUGGGUGAUGGACGGAGGGUGAGAUUUUGGAAGGAUAAUUGGUUUGGGGCUUUACCUUUUUGUGUUUCUUUUCCUUCAUUAUUUGCUCUAGCCGUCUCUAAGGAUGCUUGGGUGAAUGAUGUGUGGAGUUCUGCUAAUGGAGGGGGGAGUUGGAGCUUGCUUUUCUUUAGACCCUUUAAUGAUUGGGAGGUGGAUGAGGUGGACAGAUUCUUAUCGAGUCUCAAUGGGAAGAGUGUUCAGCAAGACGAGGAAGAUAGGGUGCUUUGGAAGGAGACUAAGUGCGGAAGGUUUUCUAUUAAAUCCCAAUACAAAGCCUUAGAACCAAGCUCUACAAUUUCCUUCUCAUUGAAUAUCAUUUAGAAAUCUUGUGUGCAGCCCAAAGUGAGUUUUUUUAGGAGGGAAGCAACAUGGGGAAGAGCUCUCACUUUGGAUCAAAUUCAGAAGAGAGGAUGGAUGUUAGCAAAUAGAUGUUACCUCUGUCAAAUGCAUGAAGAACCGAUAGAUUACAUCCUUCUCCAUUGUGCCAAGACAAGGACCUUAUGGGAGUUGUUUUUCACUCUUUUUGAGGUGCAGUGGGUGUUGCUUGCAUCAAUUAGGGUGACUUUUUUGGGAUGGGAUGGGUCCUUUGUGGGAAGGAAGAGGAGGGAAGUUUGGAAAGUAGGCCCCUUAUGCAUUUUUUGGACAGUUUGGAAGGCUAGGUACAAAAUUGUGUUUGAAGAUAAUGUGUUAUCCAUCCAAAGACUUAAAAGUUCUUUUGUUUAUUUUCUUUGGUUGGAGACGAAAUUGUUCAUAAAAGAUGGUCAUUCGACGUUAGUUGGUUUGUUUGAUUUGUUAAGCUCCCAUUGAGGGUGAGGUAUUUUUGUUCCUUCUUGCUUUCAACUGUUUUUGUUCUAGUUGGGUGGGGGUUGGUGUAUUUUUUUUUUUGUUUUUUUGAGUCGUUGUUUUGGUGUCUCUUUAUAAUAUGUUAUUACCUCUCUUUACUUAUAUAAAAAAAACAUAUUUAUUAAAUUUGGAUGAAAAUGUUGAAGAUGAUAAUAAAACUUUGUUCUUGUUGAUUUUUCUUUUUGGUGAGUAUAAACAUCUCACCAUUACCUUACUUUAUGGUAAGGGUAAAUGGACUUUAUGUUGUGCAUAUUGCUUUACUAAACUUUAAGUGCAGGAAGAAUGACCAAAAGAUUCAUAGGGAUGUGUUAGCAAAAGCAUUGACAUUGAGAGGUCGAUCUCAAAGCCAUAAACUUGGAAAAGUAGGCAAUUCUCGAUCUAAAGGCAAGUCUAUGAAAAAUGAAUAUACCUUUUUGGCAUGAAAAUGGACAUUAGAAGAGGAUUGUUGUAAGUUACAAAAGAAGAAUGAUGGAAAAAAUAGUCCGUAAUUAGUAUUUGUAAUGUCAUCGACAAUCCUUCUUUUAAUGCCCCUUUUCACAAUAAAAAACGUAUUCACCUUUCAAAUGUUUGCCUUUAGAUUAAGAGUUGCCUCUUACCCUUACCAUAAAAUGAGAUAACGAUGAGAUGUUUAUAGUAAUUAAGAAAAACAUAAAAAAAAAACAAAGUUUUUUAUCAUUUUAAUAAUCUCAUUCAAAUUCAACAAAGCUGUUAAAGGCGUGUAUGUGAUUAUUUAUAAACAUACCUAGUUGAUACUAAAGGUGAAAUUUUUUUUUGUUCAAAUAGAGUUAAUUUUCCAGACUCUUUGUCAUAUACUUGUCCUUCAAUGUCUUCUAUAAGAUUUUUAGAGAUGUUUCCAUCAUGAUGAAAUAUUUCUAAGCUUUAGUAAUACAUAAAUGAAUAGAACUAUAUGCUUGGUAGUAGAUCCUUGCAUUUUUUAUCAUCCAUAUCUUCUGGAUUUUCUUAAGAGUAGUAUCAAAAUUUUGUCGACAUAAGAUAGUCAACGACUCACAAUAGUACCAUAUUUCAAAAUUAUUAGCCCUAUCAAAUUUAUCGAUCUCAAAUUUUGGAUUAAGGAAGCCUCUACCAUCUUUCUUUUAGCUAGUAAACCUAAUAAUGAAUAAUUUUGAAUAGAACAAGACUUUGAUUCUAAUUUUUUUGACAAAGACUCGCAUAGUAUUAAAUAAAUGUAUUUAAUAUGAAAAAACAAAAACAAAAGUAAGACCAAAUAAUACAAACAAAAGAUGGACAUAAUACAUAUAAGGUUGGGAAAAAAUUUCUUAUCUACAUCAUGAUGGUAAUUAAUCUACUAAGUUCAAAUAAAAGAAUUAUAAAAUUUGAAGAAUGUCAAACUUGAAAGGUUUUAGUUAUCUUCAAUUUAUCUUCAUAUGACUUUGACCGAUAAAUGGGAGUUGGGGGUGUUACAAAUUUGAAUAAAAAUUACAACUUCUUGGAAAUUUCAAAAAUAGUUUUUUUUUUUUUUUUUUUACUUAGAAAACAUGUUUGAGAAUUUAUUUUGAAAAUAAACUAUUUUUUAAGAAUAAAUUUUAGGUUAGACAGGUUUUUUAAGUAAACUUUAGGUGUUUUUAGUUAUUUUUAUAAUAUUUUAUUUUGAGCAAUAAUUAAAAAUAUAAAAAUAUUUUAAAAAAAUUUGUAUUAUAGACUAAAAACAUGAAGGAAAUUAUUUUUCUUGUUUGAGUUUUCAAAUAGAAUCUUGUUCUUGAAAAUAAUUAAGAAUGGUUUUGAAAAAAAAAAAAAAAACCUUAAAGGACCAAUCAAGAAAUUAAUAUUAGUAAAUAUAUUUGGGUCUAUUUGUUAAUUGUUUUCAAAAACAAUUUUUAAGAAUAAUUUUUAAAAACUGUUAUCUAAUGUUUUAUAAAACAAAAAUUUGUUUUGAAACCUAAAGUGAUUUUAAUAUUUUCAAAAUAUAUUUUAAAAAUAAUUUUUAUAUUUAGUAUUUUAUUUUUAAUUAUUCUAUAUUUUUGUAUAAUUAUUUUUUAAAAUAGUUCUAAAAAAACAUGUGAAAACAAUAGAAAACAACUAAAAAAUAUUCUCUAAAAUACCAUGUUUUCUAUUUUAAAGAACACAAAAUAGAAAAUAAUUUUUGGUUGGUAAAUGUAUUUUUAUUUUUUAUUUUAUUUUAAAGAAUAUAAAACUAUUCUUGAAAAUAGUUAUAAAAAAGACCCUUGUUUCAUUUUCUUCUAAUUUUAAACCGUCUUUUUUCAUUUGUUCAUACAAUUGUAUAUUAUCUUUUGAUCAAAAUAGAUAAAUACUUAAAAUAUAAAAUUUAUAUUCGAAUUAAUUUCUUUUUUAAUAAGGAAUUCAUUUCUUGUUUACAAUAUUUUAAGAUUUUUCCAUUCAUUUGUUUUGAUCUAGGUUUGGUAGGUAUGUUUAUCUAUUUAUUUAUAUCAUUACUUUGUAAUAUAUCUUAUGAGCUUGUUCAACAAAGUUCAUAUUUUUUGUCUUUAUAUUUAGAUUUAAGUUUGACAAAAUACUAAUACCAUUUAAAUUCAUCAAGAAGUUUGAAAAAAUGGUUAAAAUAAACAAGAUUAUUUUAAAUUAUAUUAUGACUAUUGUUUGAGCUUGUUGAACAAAGUUUAUAUUUUUUGUCCGUAUAUUUAGGUUUAAGCUUGACAAAAUGCUAGGAUCAUUUAAAUUAAUCGAGAAGUUUGAAAAAAUAGUUAAAAUAAACAAGAUUAUUUGUAAGAACAAAAUCAGAAAAUCUUGAAACUCUUGACAUUUCUUAAACAAACAAAUGUUGGAGUAUCUAAUCUUAACAUUUGUGUCAAUGUCGGUGAUAUUUUGCAUCAUUUUUGAAGCAUCUGUUUUCGAAGCCAAAGACAAAUUUAAAUAUAUUUUUGGAUUAAAUUUCCGAAAAUUAAAAAUAAAAUAAUAAAAUUUUGGAAAAAGUGAAGAGUGUAGUGGAGGGAAAGAGGUCUGAACAGAAAGGACAGCUUGUUUCGUGAUCUCGAAUAGAUCUUGCAAGAAAAUUGCAUCAUUUUCAUUUUUUUUUUUUUUAAUGUCCGAAAUUUAUGAGUAAUUUUUUAUUUUUUUAAAAAUAAUUUCGGGGCUUAUUGGAUCACUUGAGAUCUGAAUAGCAGAAGAGCACCAAUCUCAGGCCCCUCUCUAACUCUAAUGCUAGCCCUCUCCGCCGGGAGACACAUUGGGUAAUGACGGCGGUGAAGUCUCCUCAACAAGCAGUGGCUUCCUCAACGCUCUGUUCCAUCCAUGGAUCUCUCCUCACUCUGGCCACCCUAACCCUAAUCUCAUUUACCUACAUUUCCCUCAAAUCCCUCCACUCUCCUUUUCAUGACCCUUCCUUCAAUUCCUCGCCUCCUCCUCAGGUACUACGUCUUCACUUUUACUUCUUCGGAUGGUUCUGACUUCUCAGGCAUUUAACUGUUUUGAUUGUGUUGUUUUUGUGUGGGUGAACUGUGAAGGUGAUUAGCCGAGUGGAACAUUUGGUUGAGGAGGAGGAUUCGCCAUUUUCGGAUAUUUAUCAUUCGCCGGAGAUUUUUAGGUUGAAUUAUAGGGAGAUGGAGAAGAAUUUCAAGGUGUAUAUAUAUCCUGAUGGGGAUCCCAAUACGUUUUACCAGACGCCCAGGAAGCUCACCGGCAAGUACGCCAGCGAGGGUUACUUCUUCCAGAAUAUUCGAGAUAGUCGAUUCCGUACGAAUGAUCCGGAUCAGGCUCACCUCUUCUUCAUUCCGAUCUCGUGUCAUAAGAUGCGAGGGAAGGUGAGGAUUUGGUCUCUGUUGUGUGUUGAGAAGAUGGGUACUUUGCAUUCUAACUCUUGUUUGAUUGCAUUUGCAUUUUGUAAUUCAUUACCAUGUUCUACAAUCCUAAUGCGUUGAACUCACUGAGUAUUUUCAUACUGAUAGAUUAGGACGGUAAUAGAGUGAACUCAGUGGGUCUUUUAUAAUGAUUUAUCAGUAUGGUAGCAGAGUUUUAGGCAAUUGUAGGCCUCCGGCAUUAACAUAUGGCUAAUUAGGCGGAGAGCUGAACUUGGACAUUCGUUCAGUUUAGUCCUGUUUCAGUCAAGUAGCACUGUUACACACAUUAUGAGCAAUUGCCAGAGUACUUCCCUGGUCUUAUUUCCUUGAUUUUAUUGUUUUGCCAUAUUUCUUUUCUAUGGGCAUUUCCUUUUGUUGACAAGAAUUGUAUUGCCUAGUAUAUUUGUUUAACUGCUAAUGUUUAUCUUUGAAGAUGUGCCCUUUAGUGAGUAUUGAUGGGCUUGCAAUUCAUUCUCACAUGGGCAUGAUAUUUCAAUGUGAGACACAGAUAUUAACAGACUACUUUGCAGCGUGUUUAGAUCUGAUUAGGAAUGCUUCUUCUCCUAUACAAGAUCUGGGUCCUUUCUAUAUUGGUAACAAGUUUGUAUGGUUGUAUCCAGGGCACAUCAUAUGAGAACAUGACUGUAAUUGUCCAGAAUUAUGUGGGGAGCUUAAUAUCCAAGUAUCCUUACUGGAAUAGAACCCUGGGUGCUGAUCAUUUUUUUGUUACUUGUCAUGAUGUUGGUGUGAGGGCAACUGAAGGAGUUCCAUUUCUGGUAAAGAAUUCAAUUCGAGUUGUGUGCUCUCCAAGUUAUGAUGUUGGAUUCAUUCCGCACAAAGAUGUUGCUCUCCCUCAAGUAUUGCAACCUUUUGCUCUUCCUGCUGGAGGAAAUGAUAUAGAAAACAGGUAACAUCUUCAACCUUUUGUUACUUUAUUAUAUAUAUUUUUUACAUGUAGUUUUAGAAUCUUAGCUAAAGAAUUGUGAGGUGUAACUCUCCCUUUUUGGAUUCCAUUUCCCAUUUUGUUCAAUUAUUUGUAAUCCAUUUCAGUUAUUCAAGCUGUGGCAAAUAAACUACAAAUUUUACCUCCCUUAGCUUCCCAAGGUGUUUCUGGAAAUAAAAAUUCAAUUUGAUGGUUAACUGGUGGUGUUUGUUUUUUUGGCUUUUUGCUUAAAACAAUUUGUUUUCAGAAUUUAGGUUGUUUGUUUUUCUACUUUUUCAUGACUUGUUAUAAACUUUUUACUAAAUAGAAAAAGCUAAAAUAUGUAACUUUUUCUAAAUAGAAAAAAUAACAUAUUGGUUUUUCUUUAUUUUUUAAUACUUAAUAGAAAUAAAAUACUACAAAAACAAACAACCUAAUAUUUAACACUAUUAAGCAUUAAGGUUCUAUUUAGAAUUAAGUAAAAAAACAAACACCACCAUAAUGCAUUCUGUGUUUACUGAUUCAAGUUUUAGCAUAGCAAUGUGCUUUAAGAAAAAAGAACUUCAGGAAGAACAACAUUCUCAUGUUUGCUACUGACAUGAUAUCUGGCACGCCAUUGGCAUUGGCUUUUCGGUUUGCCAGUGAUCUUGUUUCACAUUGAUCAAUAUCUACCCUUCAAGAGUUGAGUAAAACUUUGUUUGAAUUAUACUAUCAUUCAUGGGAAAUCUGUAAUCUUGUUUGGGGUUGGACUUUCUAUUUUGUUCCAACAUCAAUCCUCCAAUUUACAAGGUUUUAAAAAUUAAAAUAUUAAAGGAUACAAUUUUCAACUAAAAUUAUGGGUUAGACUUUGGUAGAUUUAAUUUCUAUAUAUAUACAUAUAUAUAAUAAAAAAGAAAAAGAGAAAAGAAAAACCUCAAGCUCUGGAAAAGGAGGAUGUUUAUGGACCUUACGGUUACAUUGCCUGAACCUUGGGAAGUGAAAAGCCAACACCAAAUAUACAGGGUUGAAACUUUAUUGAGUUGAAUUGUGGAUUUUUAGAUUGUGGUUCAGGUGGUAUGGAUCCUUGAUACAAAGUUGUGUAUCAUAUAAUAUUUGACAUGUUUUGAGACAACUAGCCUACUUCUUGUCUAUAUGUUGUGUUCUUAUUGCAUAUGAAUAACUGUUUGUUUGCCUAAUUGCCUUCUAUAGGCUGUUGUAAUUUAGCAUGUUUCUCAUACAACGAAUUGAAUGUAAGUUUUAUGUGGAUGGAAAGAUCCCAGUUAUGAGAUUAUUGCCUAAAAUUGAGAAGCAUACUUUGCAGGACAACUCUUGGCUUUUGGGCUGGUCAUCGGAACUCCAAAAUUAGAGUUAUACUAGCACGUGUAUGGGAGAAUGACACUGAACUUGACAUUAUGAACAACAGAAUAAAUAGAGCUGCUGGAGAGCUUCUAUAUCAAAAAAGAUUUUACAGGACUAAGUUCUGCAUAUGCCCAGGAGGUUCCCAGGUCAACAGUGCUCGCAUAGCAGAUUCAAUCCAUUAUGGAUGUGUUCCUGGUAAGAUUUCUUUUCUUCUUCGGUGAUGAGCUAUGAAGUGGUUUGUGUUCCAUCCUAUCUAAUUGUAAAUUGACAAUAUGGUAAGUGUGGAUUGUUACCCAAUUCCUGGACACCUAUGAAAAUGGAUGAAUCAACAAAAAUGAAACAACAUAACAAGACUAUGUUCUUCAACAUUCAUCCCAUGCCAUGGAGGAGAUAAGAAUAAUUUGGUCUCGCUAGAAUUGGUUGCAAUGAUUUCACCUCAAUUCCCAAAAAAAUUGGCACCUCUCCACCUACCCCUAAACCCAUCCAGUCACCUGGACAACAUAAAUAAUGGAAAGAAAGACCUGAAGAUACUCUAGGAAUCCUGUGUCACUAACCCUGAUUGGGAAUCUGCGUCUAUUUACCCUCUAGUUAGCAAAUGCUGGUAGGCUAGCUUGUGAGACAACAUGAUGGUUUUGUGGAACAUUCAGGCUGAACAUGUUUUAGGAGCGACAGCAGAACUUUGGAAUGCCUCUGAUGCAGUAACAGAGGGCUAAAGCCUUAAUAUCAUCAUAAAUUAGCUAUGCUACAUAGCAUAAAGCACAAUGAUAUCAAGGGGUCCUUUAAAAUAGUCAACUGUUUUUUUGGUUGAGUACUCUGCCUCUGCCUCAAGUUAUGGACUUUCAACGUAAAUGAAACUUUAUUGCUGUUUUGCAUGAAUGCAUAGAAAAUUUCCCAUCUUUCAGAAAUUAGAAUUCAUCCUUAUUCUUUUUAUAUUAAAAGGGCAUUUACUAGUAUCGAUAAUCAAUGGGUUAUAUAUGGUCCUAACAUUAGGAGGCAAUGUGUUAGAUAUGGUCCUAAGCAUGCAUUUUUUGCCAAAAAGUGCCCUUCCUCGAGAUUUGAAAUUCAUUUAACUAGCUCAAUGCCAAACUGUGGAGGUGCAGUUACAAACCCACUGGAGUGUGUUACCAGAGUUGAGGUUUUGCAAUGUAAUUGUCUGUCACACUUGAAAUUUGGAAUUUUUUUCCCUCUGGCAUGUUACUUCUUGCAAUAACACGUCUCUGCAAUUGUUUUUUCUGAGUAAUUUGGGUGAUUUUCAUGCAGUGAUAUUGUCCAAUUAUUAUGACCUGCCAUUUAAUGACAUCCUUGAUUGGCGAAAAUUUUCGGUCGUACUCAAGGAGCUUGAUGUAUACCAGCUUAAACAAAUCCUCAAGGACAUACCUGAUGCAGAAUUUGUUGCACUGCAUAACAACUUGGUCCAGGUAGAACCUUCCCAUUACAACUUAAAGAAUUUAAAUUGUGUAGUAAAUUUAUGAUAGCCUUUCAUUCCUCGGAUGAUUAAAUUUCUGCCUGCUUGUAAUUUCCUUUCUUUUAAGAAAAAAAAUUAAUUCCCUUUUUUUGUGUAAGAAGUGUUUAAGCUGUAUUUCUUUUGUUUAGCACUGCUUUGGUUUUUGUCUUCAUAAAUAAAAGAUAAAAGAACCCAAUUAAUGGUUGCUAUUAGGAGUUGAAGUGUGCUCUCCUUUUUGUUUCCCUUUUUUCAUGUUUUCUUUGACAUGAAGAGUAGUUGCAUUAAGAUCUACAUGAAUAGAAUAAACAUCAAUUCCUCAACAAGAACGUGCAGUCAAUGAUGAGAAUUUAUUUUGGCAUAUAUCUACAGGUCCAGAAGCACUUCCAAUGGAAUUCACCUCCCAUCAGAUAUGAUGCAUUCCAUAUGAUCAUGUAUGAGCUCUGGUUGCGCCACCAAGUGAUUAAGUAUUGAUAUAAUGAAUAUAAUUCUGGUCCCUUGAUGUCAAUUAAUAUCUUGUAAAUUGACAUAGUUCUUCUGUCAAAAUCUGUGUUCUAAGUAUUGAUAGGUCAAUUUUAUAGUUUUCUUUUUCUGUGUAAUCAUUCUUUUUGCAAUAACCUCUCUGCCAAAAAGGAAAAAAAGGUUCUGCUAUGUUAUAUUAAUGUUUUGCAAUCAUUUGUCUGCUUUGCUUACUCCCAUUAUGCAAUUUCACAAAGCUUCAGAGACUUUAUUCCUGAUAUUCACAUAGAAGAGGUAAAACUAUUAUUAUGCAUAAGCAAUAUCUACUACUUCAAUCUCAUGGGCUCUCUGGGUGCUACUAAAAUUUGUUCCUCCCUCAAGCCCAGUGGUGUCAGUUGUAGGGGUAUUGUUUGUCGACUGUUGGGGGCCCCUAGUAGAAGAAUCAGAGGAUUCUCUUUUUGUCGUCAAAUAGACCAACAUUGCAGCAUACAGCAUCAUUACUGGAAAAAUCACAACUCCUGCAAGGAUUGAUCCUGUCUUCGGUAUAUCGUUAUUUGUCAUCCAUCCUAUUAAACUUGAACUUAAGAAGUAUAUGUUGAUACCAAUUGAGCCAAACCCCAAGAGCCACGAGAGUAAGGUUACCUAUCAUCGAAGGGAGAUUUGAUGAUGGGAUGGCUGUUCAGAAAAUUGCUUUCUACGCAUAUAUAGAGCUAAUAACUGGCAAAUAGUGCUUAAAAUUAAGAUCUCACCAUUAUGGAGCUUCUAUGAGCGCCCAUCUUAGCUUUACUACUUGUGAAUCGGAGGAGAGGAAUCAGUGCAAAUGGUAGCUCGAAGGAUAAGAUCAUCUGGACUCACAAAGUAAUGAAACAGUCAAUGUUCAUUCUUGUAGGGAAAGUUUACUUUUUUUUUUUGUUUUUGGGUGUUGGGCUUGACUUACGGAAGCAAUGAUAAUCAGCCUUGCAGCUCCGGAAGAUCCACCUAUGAUGCAGACCAUUAAGCUUGGAGCAAUGGCUAUGCACCGGGUGACCAAAUUUCUUAACCAAAGCCUCAUUUUCAAAUCUAGAAAACCCUGUAAAACAAAACAUUAUAAAGUGUUUUCAAAAAUCAUUCCCACCACCAAGCUUCACCUUCAGAGGGGGAAAAUGCCAGCAGACAGUGAUAUCAGAGUACUUAAUAGCUCCCUGAUUCAGAUAUAAAUUAAUAAAGAGUACCUGCAUAAUAUACUGGCCAGCGUAGGUUCCAGUAACAGUUGAACUCUGACCAGAUGCAAGCAAGGACACGGCAUAUAGCUUGGAACUCCAGUUUCCGAGAGCAUUCUGUAUUAAUAAUUUAGUACAUUAACACUGAGCUCUCAGAUCAUGCUCCAUACAGAAAGAAAAGAAUAGUUGGAAUUAUGACCAGGAAAGCUGUUUUAUACGAACAUUAAGUAAGAAAGAUGCGGACUCGAGAGUGAUGUCCUCGCAAUGAUCCUUGUUUUGUGAAGAAGCAUGUGGAUUGGAGCAGACGCUGCCGCUCACAGAUACAACGGCCACGUUUAUAAGAAGUGCGAUGAAAAGGGCUAGCCCGCUUUCAAUGAUGAAGUACUUGCUCGCACUCUGACCACGAAUUUGGUGUUACUAAAUGGUUAGUUGGUUAAGACUUAAAUGUAUAUUGGAAGGUUGAAGUUCUCACCCUGAUGGCAUGAAAGGAGUGGGGGAUUUUCCUUGAGGUGACCAGUGCUGAAUGAAGAAAUAGAUUGUGCCUGCACCAUUAGAGAAGUCCUUUCCACGUCACAUUCAUUAUUCACCCCAAUAAAAGCAGGGUGAGCCUACAGUAAAAUAGUGUGUUUCAAUUCAAUCUCAUGUUGGAAAAUUAAUUGGAUCAAAAUAAUUAUUUGAUUAAACUAUUUUUCAAGUUGACCAGAUGGUCAACCUGGACCAAGUAUCUACCUGAAUAUGAUUAAACCCUUUUUGAAUAUGACCAACUUAUUGCCCAAUUAUUGUGAUCCAAAUUCUCUCGUACAAGUAUAACUAGGAUGUUUGUGACCAAUCCCAACAAAUUAAAUGGUAAUUAGGUUUAACUACCAGACCUGGUCCCACGCCAAUAAAUUGGCGAAGGUGUCUUUUCAGCCCAAGAAAUGUCUAGUCAUUAUAGCAUGGCCCAUGAAGCUCAAAUAGUGAGCCUGGAAUGGACACACCCUCAAGUUAUGCUUCUUAAAAUUGAGAAGUAAUAAAAGUAGGGAUAAUCUUGUAUGCUAGCUUCUCCAGAUCGAGAAUUAAGAAUGGGAGGAAGAUGAUGAAAAUUACGGCAUGAUGAGAGCUCCUAAAAGAGCGAUGGCAUCUCUGGUGGCUCCAUCACCAUUCAAUUUAGGGACGAACAUUCCGGUGACAACGUCCUUUGCACUAGGUCUGGCAUGUACCAUCACACUGCAGAAGCAGCCGCCCACUACUAAUACCAAUCCCCCGAUCGCCACCUCCAGCUUCCUUAUCUAUCAUUCAUAUUGUUUGAGGAUACAAAAAGGUAAGCUUUGAGAUUUAAAACUAUUAAUCAAGAAAUAAAUGAUAAAACAAAAAAAGAAAAAGGAUGAGACUUGAUCAGUGCCACUCACACCAUAUCUCUGUAGUCCAAGGAGGAGAAGGGUACUCAAACCAGCCAGAAGAACACCGCCCCAUAUGGGUACGUGGAAGAGUAUGUUGAUAGCAAAUGCCGUUCCUAUCACUGCAAUAAAACCCCCAAUCAAAAUCCUAGAGUAAUAUCCUACCCUGCUUCACAAACUAUGUACUUCCAUCUGUUUAUAUUUCCUUUCCGAAGCAUCCAAACCUUCUGGGAUGUCAGCUGCGAUGACUGCGACCUCAGCAAGUAUCCAAAGGCAAUAAUUCACCGGCUUCGGGUACUCCAUCCUGCAGUGCUCCGAGAGAUGCUUCCCUGUAUGUAAACGUAAGUAAUAUAUAUGUACUGCAGAUCAUGGGGUUUGUUUUAAAUGUCAAAAAGAGCUAGUUGGACUGGCAUGCUGGUCAAAGAUAAAAAAACAAGAGAAAAAAAAGGUUGCAUGGUUAAAAGUAACUGUGUCUGAUCUGUAUCAUCCUCCAAAUCUUGGAGGGUUCUGAUUAAGGAUUACGACCUUUGUGAGCAUGUAUUUGCAUGGAAGCCUGUAGAACAUGCAAAUACCUUUUUGUCCUAUAAAUAUAGAAACAACCUGUUACCUGUAGCCACUCCUAGAUUUGCUGAACGGGACUGUAUGAUGAAGGCGAAGAUCAGCCCAACAAGCACGAUCCACAACAGCUGUAUAUAAGCAGCUCGAUUUAAAAUUUGUCCAUGAAUAUGUGUGUGUGAGGGAAAACAGUAGUGGGAGGAAGGAGAAGGAGAAGAUGACCUCGUAUUUGUGGUUAGCACCAGCUUGUAAAUCUGUCUCCACUGCAUUUGCACAGCAAUUUACAAAGCAAAAAAGAGAAAAAAAAAAAAUGUAAUGUUAGCUAUGACAGCAGUCCUGAUGAAGAAUACAACACACAAUCUUUUAGAAUAACAGAUUACAGAGAGAGAGCUAACAGUUUCCAGGAUCUAGAUAAGCGACAGAGACCAGAAAACCCGGUCCUACAUAACUCAAGAGCUUCUUCCAUAGGGGGGUCUCUUGAAUCUGAACCAGAGCCAUGUGCCUCCUCAAGCUUCUCCUAACUCAAUUAUGUUAUGUAUUAAAUUUCAUGGAGUUGGAUCUUUAUAGAGCGACCCACGGAGAAGAGUACAUGCGGUACAAACAUUGAGCUGCCCCCUCCAUCUGGAAUUUCAAAUCAAACAUUAAAUUGGUGGUUGGAUUUUGUUAUCAUUAUAUGGACGUGUCACACAUGUUUAAAGGGCAUACUCACAACCCCAUUCGUCAUGCACUGAUGAAUUAUUGCAUGUACAGUUUUGAACUUCCCACGAUUGGGCAAUUGGGGAGCAAUCAACAUCAUCAGUCUCUCUGAUGCCAAACAACUCUACACUUAUAUGUACCCCUGGUUCUAACCCAAACCUCUUUUAAUUUUCCUUGCCAUAAUCAUGCCUUCGUUUUGCGUCUCCUUAGAUUUUAUUACUUCAUACGACGCCUUUAAUAAGUCAUUAUCAAAAUAAUAUAUAUGUAAUGAUUCAAUCCUAACCUAUAGUAAACAUAUUAUUUGUUUUGGUCCAUUGAGCUCUUCAACCUCUUCUCUUUUACAUGGUUUAGAGGAGUCUAUCCAAACAACUCCACACUUAUAUGUACCCCUGGCUCUAACCCAAACCUCUUUUAAUUUUCCUUGCUAUAAUCAUGCCUUCAUUUUGCGUCUCAUUCGAUGACCCCUUUGAUAAGUCGUUAUCAAAAUAACAUGUAAUGAUUAACAUAAUAUUCGUUUUGAUCCAUUGAGCUCUUCAACCUCUUCUCUUUUGCAUGGUUUAGAGGAGUCUAUUACACAUGUAAGAUGGAAAAUUUUCUCCAAAUUAAUAUAAAAUAUCGCAAUCAUACUCCUCGGGAAAAAACAUUAUCCCCAUCGUGUCCUAUGGGUUGUGUCAUUGUACUCUGAGUGUGGGACUAAGCCUUGUGGAACUAAAUAUAUAAAUAGACAUUCUUACAAUGUUAGACACAUAAACACCCUUUAUAGGAUCAAAUAAAUAAACUUCAAUAAUGAAAUCAUAGAUUUGACUAUAAUAUCAUUUAUAAUAACUUGUUCUUCUUAUAUAGAUAUUAUUUGUUUUAAAUUUAAUAAGUCGUCAUAGUUUUAAAACAUGUCUAUCUAAUUAAUUAGAGUUAUUACAUAUGCAGGACCAAAAACUUAUUCUCUUAACCAAUGUUAGAUAUCACAAUAUCUUUUACUACCAAUCUCAACUAUCAAGACCAUGUUAACUACCUUUGAGUACACCUCUAAAUUCAAAACAAAAAGUUUAUUGUAUAAAUAAGAUCGGAACAAAACAAAAGAAGUUUGGUAAACUUGACUUUAUACAUGACUAGUGACAUAUUACCUUAUAUCAUCUGGGUAAACUCAGUGUUCUUGUAGGUUGAAUACUCUUAAGAAAAUAGUUCCUAUAUAAAUCUUCUUUAAAAUGAUCCGAAACAAUAAGGCCUUGACAUCUUGAAAUCCUUUUUCUCCAACUUCCACAAAAGCUCUACCUUUCCUUCUUGUAUGAAAGUGGUGACGGUUAUUUUUUUAUCCUUAGAGUAGCUCAAAGUUUUGACUAAAACACAAUCUCUUUAUUAUAUCAUAUGAGAUUGUGUGGGGUUAGAUGUAAUAAACACUCCCUUCAAACCAUUUAAAGUGUGUUUGACAGUAAUUAUAAGAAGUGUUUUUAAUAUUUGAAGAAUAAAAAUUUUCAAGCGUUACAAAUGUUAGAAACAUUUCAUAGAAUCACUACCAAACACACUCUUAUUAUAACUUGUUCUCUCCUAUAUAUAGAUACUAUUAUUUUGUGUCUAAUAUAUCAUCAAGACUUUAAAACUUGUUUAUCUAAUUUGAAGAAAUCUACUAUAUAUAGUAUUAAGAAUUUCUCUCAUUAUUUGAUGUGAGAUAUUAUAUAGUCCUACUUCUAUUCAAAAACAUAUUUGAACUAUUUUAAGUGAAAAUUUAAAAUUUGAGUAAAAAUUUCUGAAUAAGCAAUUACACACCCAAUCUUAUAUCUCCAUGGAUUGCUCAUGUUAAAACCAAUCCUAGGUCUCUCUUGUGUACCAUGAAUGCACGCUUUCUAGUAGAUUUCCAUGAGUUGAAGUAUUCAUAUUUGAUAAUUUUCAUCUUUAAAGAUCUUUUAUGGAUAGACCACAUUUAUAACUAACUAACUUCACAUUCGAUUAAAAUUUUACUUGCAAUCCUCUUUUACAUUUCAAUUUUUUUGCAUCAUCUUUAUAUCCAAUCUUCAAUCUUCAAUCUUUUUCUAAACUCUUUUAAAAAUAUUUUCUUUUUUCCUUUUUAGAAUUCUCCCCCCCCUAACUUUAUGUAAAUUUUUGUGUCAAUGGAACUCUAAUUAUACCAUGCAUUAGUAUAUAUAUAUAUAUAUAUAUAUAUAUAUUAUUCUUCAAAAAAUAAAAUAAAAUGGAUGAGGCCAGGCAGUAAAAGAAUUGCCGACAACAUACAUGGCUGACAUUUAACAGAUGAUUUGAGAAGGAGUGAAACAACGAACCAUACGGCUACGAAAACAAAAGUUGGAUAAAUUUAAUGCAAAAAUUAUUCAAACAUAAAGUCGCUAUCUACAUAAAAUAAUUGAUGGGGUGAGUAUCAACUAUGAUGUUACAGGACUGGAGGAUGCUUCGUUUUCAAAAUAAAUUGCUUACGCAUCCUACUUCUUGUCCUCCUAGACCUGCUACAAUUGGGACCAUGAUGUAAAUAAUUCCUGAGCUGGAGUAUAUCUCCCAUGGAAUGUUAAAAGUUCACACUUUUUAUUCAAAGUGUUGCCAAAAUUUGAUAACAUUCGACAUUGAUUCUAACAUUUUACACUUGGGAGUUCUCUAAUUACGAUUAAUUUUGUGCCACAAAAUGUUCCUAAGCAGUUGUAGCAAGGGAGAUGAGAUGAUUGAUAAAAGUAGAAACACUCAUGGUGAGUGAUAUCACUAUGUUCUCAUGUAGGGCAGAACAUUUCUUAUAUACAACAGCAAUGCUGGUAGAGCAAGAAGUCCGGGAGUUGUUUCGAUUAAAUGCCAUAAAGGUGAUACGGUUUGUAGGACAGCACUGCUAGUGCUGACCAAACUUGGAGGUACUGAGUUGGAAGGAUACCAGUUUAUGGGUGGUGUCCGGUCAAUGUCUCCUCCUUUUAGGUAUGUAGGGUUACUUUAGUUUUUACUUUUUACAUCACCGUAGAGGCUAGCUAUUUCAUCUUAUAAAAUAUCUUUGAUAUUUUACUUUAGUUAUUACCAAAAACAAAGCAAGAUUUUGAGGUUUUACAUGGAAUUGGAAAAUAUGCCCAAACCCAACAAAUUUUCUUGGAAAGAAUAAUAAUCUAUGAGGAAAUCUUUGUAAUGCCUUUGAAAAAUAAUUCGAUAAAACAGGAAAAAGGAAGAAAAAAAAACAAAAAUACAAAACCCUGAUGCCUGGGCUCAUGAUCAGGUGAGAAAUUGAGAUGGACGUGAAGCUAGAUUCCACCCACAUGAAACCAUUCCAAAAAAGCAAUAAUAGCAUUCAAGGUACAUGGAUUGUUGAAUGCUAACCUCACAUUCAGAUUUGAGAUGACAAUGGGAGAUACCACCCGUCCGUGCAUAUUGGAUUGAGUUUAAUUUUAAUAAAUGAAUUUGAAAUUUUUUUAAAAAAUCCGAGGCAAAUUCGGAUAUCGCCCUGCCCUUCCCCCACCUCGUCCUUCCCUAAUUAUAUAUAAAAUUAAAAUUUUAAUUAAAUUUAAUUUAAAAUUUAAAAUUAAUUUAAUUUAAAUUUUAUUUUAUUAUUUUUAAUAUAUAGAUAAUAAAAAAAUAUUUUUAAUAAAAUAAGUUAUAAAAAAUAUAAUAAUUUAAUUAUUUAUAAAAUAUAUUUAUUUUAAUAUAAUUAAAAAUUUUAAAAAUAAUUUUUUUUAAAAAAAUUUUAAAUUCAAAAAAAGUUAAACCGGACAGAUACGAGAAUUUAUCAUACCACCUUGUCCCGUCCCAUCCCGUUUAAUUUUUUAAAUGGGACGGAGAUGAGAAUUAUUUCAAAUAAAUGAGACGGGGUUGGGAUGAGGACAACCCGUCUUGAACCCACACCAUUGCCAUCCUAAUUCAGAUAAAACUAAUGUUAUAAUAUUUCUGUGGCUGCAUUGCCUGCUUUUUUUUCUCCUUUUUUCAUAUUUGAAUUGGAAUUGAGGUGAAAGUGUCAUUCUUUGAUUUCUUUUUAUUCAAACAAAGUACCUUUUUCCAGGAAGAAACAAACAAGCCUAAGGCCACCCAUGAUAUAAAAAGACAUUUACUGUUACCUUAGUAACAUAGGCCACCCCAAAGGCCUUGGCUAUUAACCCACCGAUGUCCAAAUCUCUAGCCUUUUUUAUAGACCCAGCUAUCUAUGUCCGUUAGCCCAUAUGGGACCACUUCUACAGAUUUCCAAAUUUGACCUACACCUAACCCCUCCCACUCAAAUUGGGACGACCUAGGGCUAACCCAAUUAAUAAUGAGUUCAAUUUGACCAACCCAUUGCAAAUGAAUUUAAUAAGGCCUGGCUCUGAUGAACCCUGGGCCAGCUAGGCCCAUGCCACACCCACUCCGAAAUCUAAACCAUCAUUUUGGGCCCUUUGUUAACUGGGUCAGCCCCAUACAUCCUCCAUCUAGAUACAAAAUUCAUCGGUUUCAUCUCAGCCCAUGUCUCCAACUAGCAAAGGAUAAGGGAAAAAGCUUAAUAGUUAAUAUACUUGGUAGAAAUGGCAAAUACUCCAAAAGCAAUAAUCCGAUAACAGGCAUCUUUUGUGAAACAUUUCUUCAGUGGAAGUGACAACAAGAUCCUUUUUCUAACUCCAACUAUCAAUUCUGAUAUACAUACCCGAACUCUUCAAGACAUCUCUUCUCUUAUCCUAUUUCAUUGUCCAUUCCUCCAUCUUUCAUUCACCAACUUAAAACAAAAAUGCCAGAUAUAAAAGGUUAGUAUUCCAAAGCAUCCACUGAAGUUCACAAAGCAAUAAAAAUAUUUCUGUGAGCGCUAUUGAAGUGUACAAAACAAAAAUUGUUUUGUAUUAAUUACCGUGUGGCAGUGGGGCAACCAAAUUUAAAAAUUGAAAGGGAGGAUGAAUGAGUCAGUUUCCAAUCGUAACACAAGGGUAGUGCUUGGAGCUGACCAAUUAGGGCUGAGAACGUGGGAGAGCAUGGAACAAAGUCUUGGCAUCUAAGAGAGAACCCUAGGACGAAGGAUUGGUGCUCCAUAGGUGUGAGAAAUAUCUUGAAAAGGGACAGGCACUGAGUUGGCCUAGUGGAAAGUGAAUUGAUCCAAUAGAGCGCAUAAUCAUUGGGUGAUGGUGCGGCUGAUGUGACUGGGGUGAUUUUGUCUGAUUGGCAACCCUGAGGUAUCCGAGGCCAGUGCUCCAGUUAGAGCAUACGACAAAGUUGUACAAAAUUUCAAUUGAACUUUAGUCAUAUUUUCCUCCCAAAUUCUCUCUCUGUUUUUAGCUGAUUAUUUUACCCAAAAAUAACUUGGAAAUUCAAGUAUUUCGAGGCUAAGAAUGAAUUUUAUAACUGCAUGUGAAGGCCCUGAAUGAAGAGAAAAAAGACAAGGGAGCGGCACACAGGUAUCUGGAUUGGUGGCCGUUCGUUAGAUGCUGUGAGCAGGCCAAAUCCAAUAUCUGAAAUCCCUUCCAUUGCAUGCCCACGCGCGAAACGAGUAUCUCUUUCUCAUGGAGGACCCAGACACCACCCAAUCUUUUCUGUACUUGCGUGAAGCCGCCACAGGAGCUCCAACACUUCUCUUAAUCAUCAAAUUACAUCUCCGGAUGAGUGCUGGACCAUUUUUGCUUCUAGUGGCAAUUAGAUUUAUCCCAGGAAAAACUUUUGUGCCCGCCUUGUAGGCCCAAAUUUGUGACACCCAGUUGGGUUUAGGUUUGAGAUUUGAAACCAUGAACUUCAAACUAGUUUUAGAGGUUUUGUCACCACGCCCCAUGAAGUUUAUGUGCUGUAAAUUGUGAUCAGACCAUUGCAAAUAGGGAUGAUAAUGACACAGUGUUUUUAAAGUACUCAAUGUUUGAAAUUUAAAAACUAGUUUCAAUAAAAUAAGUUAUAAAAUAUUAUUAAGAAUUAAAAAAAAAAAUUAAAUAGCUUAGACAAUAUAAAAAAACUUUCAUAUACGGACUGGGAAUUACUUUCGAUAAACCCUUGUCACAAGCUCGUCCUGAUGUCCGGAGGAUACCUUCAUUUUCUUAUCUUCUUUGUUAACAUUUUAAAAUAUCAUGGUUAUCAUUUUAUUCCCUUCCAGGGACCAAAGAUUCUAGUCCUUGCAGGCGUCAACAACAACAUCAAUUAUCCAAACUCCACUGUUGAGGCCUUGCGUCCCUGGUGAUCCACGUAAGUGCCAAAUGGAUGGACGCACGAUCUCAACUAAUAUAGAUUCUUGAUUCAAUCGUGGUACCUGCAAAAGGCGUCCGGACGGGGUGUCCGGACGCACCCUCCGAUGGUUUUGUCAGCCAUGGUUAGAGAGAUGGAGAUAAAUCAAUUGACCUUUUACUAGGUACAACAAGCUUACCUUCCUCUUUGUGUGAAGGUUCGUAUAUAUAGUAUCAGGAGCUUUGUUCCCCUUUUUAAUAGUGAGAAGAUAUUUUGUGUUGUCAUGAUGAUAUUAGGUGGUGUCAGGGCCAUCAUCACCCUAUGGGCGGCUGACAGAGAUCGUGAUGGGUGAUCGUGUGAAGUGAUCGUGGGAAGUGACUUGUUGUCACUUCAUCUUAUCCUUUCACUCUGCAGGUGGCGGAACGUGGGUCAUGACAAACUGUUGUAAUAACGUGCAAGACUUACUUUACUUUAGUCAAUGAUCUGGGCAAACGUAUCCGGAUGACCUUUGUUGGUCGUCCGGAUGCAUUUGUGGAAGUCGCUCGGAUGUUUAAGCUUAUGAGUGUCGUGUGCCUCUUCUUGAAGUAGUCUGGAUAAGAGAAGCGUGCCACGUGUACUCUUGGGGAAAUCCGGAUGAGGUUAACCCGGAUGGGAAUGUGUGCCACGCGUCAUCAUGAGAUAUGUGCCACGUGUGGGAGGGGUCCUUGCACCCACCACAACUGCCCCCUUCCAACUUGACAUUUCUUAAUCAUCUUAAAGAUGUAAAUGCUUGGUUACUCGCUCCUGACUCCUGAGAGAGUUCUCAUCAGUCAUCAGUCAUCAGUUAUCAGUCGAAUUCUUUUACUUAUAUUUGUCUUCUUGUCCAUCUCUCCUGCAUUGGCCAAUGCAGCCUUAUCAUGGAUUUUGAAUGCUACUGUCACAGAUUGUUAGGCCUAAUUAAUAAUAAGCUGAUGUAGGAAUAGAAGUUUGGAAUAAGUAUAGGUAAGCUUGUUCUCAUGCGACCCUCCUCCAUGCCCUACUGAUAGGCGCAAUAGAUAUUAUAUGAAUUGUGGUGUCCUCAUGCAUACAAAUGCACCCUUUUUUUAUUGUUUUUUUUUUCCCUAAGACGUGGGCAUGGGGCCAAGGAGCAGCCAGCAGGAGAUGGAUCAGACCCAUUGAAUCUGUAAGCUACAGUGAAAGUCGGUGAGCAAUCCCUGCAUACUUGUUGCCUAAAAUACUUGAAAUUAAUAUUUUUCUGUUUCAUGCGUUAUUAAUUAUAGUCAAUAUUGGAAGGCAUUUUUAAUUAUUCAUGGUCACUAUGUGGUUGGGAAAGGCGCUACAAUAAUAUCCAAUUUUUGGACAAUUUGGUGGUCAUGAACUCUCAAUUUUCAAGAUUAGUACCAAGUAUGAAUUCUUAUAUAUUUUCUCUAUUUAUUAAACAUUUUGCUUGCUUCAUGUGCAGGCUAAGUGUUUAUUAUGCCAAUAUUUUGAUUAAAAAAUUUGCAUAUUUUACGUGCAUCUCUUGUUCAAUGUAAAUUUAUUGUGUCAAAAAUAUAUGGCCGGGGAGUUAUGAUGAUUUACUACUGAGUAGGAUAUGUUUUUAAAAUAGUGGGGGUUUCUGACUCUCAUGUUUGAGAAUUUUAGAUUAUUAUACAUUGACUUCAAUUUUCAAUCUAAGAUUUGAUUAUCUUAGAAUUGUUAAAUAAUUUUUACAUAAAAAUUAAGUUCAUUUAUAUAUAUAUAUAAAAUAAAAAUAAUUGUAAUAACCUAUAUCCAACGGUAAAGAUAUUACUCAUCUAUCAUGUAAAUAAAAAGGGUAAACAUAAUCGUGCUUUUUAUCUUAUAGGAUUAUAGAGUCAAACAAAUAAACACACAUCAUAGGAUCAAAUAAAUCCUCACACUAGGAUAAGGAUUAGCUUUAUACCAUUUUGUAAUAGUUCGCACCCAAUCGUGUAGAUAUUAUCUGUUUUGAAUUCAAAGAGACUCUCAAGACUUUAAAACAUGUUUACAAAAUUAAAAAGAGUUUAUAUAAUAUUAAAAACUUUUUCUUUUAUUUGAUAUGAGAUAUUACAAAUAAAACCAUGAAAACCCCUUUAAACUCAAAAUAGAUAGUAACUAUACGAUUAACAACGUAUCGUUACAAUAAUAGUGUCCUCCCCACCUUUUUUUUUGCUUAAAUUAAAAUAAAACUGGGUGAAAAGCUUACACAAUUUGGGAUAACCUUAUUAAUAAGAAGAUUAAAAGUUUGGUUAAAUAAUUUUAAUGUUAAAAGUGAGAGUGACAAAGGUACUAAUUUCAUGGUUAAAAUGACAAUUAAAUAACCGUGGCUCCAUAAAUAUUUUAUCUUUCAUGGAAUUAAUAAAGGGUAUAGCCGUGUGGGAGAGCAAUCCAUUUCCAUUCUUUCCUUAUUUACAAAUAAAUUUAUAAAUACAAUUUAAAACCUUUCCUAUAAAUUUCCAUUAGUUUUCCCAAAAUUUGGAAUGAAAAUAUCGAUGAAGGUGGGGAGCACGUUGAUGGACGAUUUUUUUCCUUAAAUUAUAAUUAUCUCAACUUUUGUUUUUGUCACGCGUUACCAAUAUAUAAAAUAGUGAAUAAAGGAGACUCCACAUAUAAAUUUUAAAAUUCAAAUGUAAUAGCCAUGAUUUAUCAUCCAAAUUUCGCUCAUGGAUCGUAAUCAUUGAAUUUUGGUGAAAAAGAAAAUGAUUAUUUCCAUAUUUAGAAUUUUAGAUUUAUGUUAUGAAAAUUGGGUUAUCUAUAUUUGUUUAUAUCACCAUGGAGGCUCGCACUCCUGAUUAUAAAUUGUACUCAUCGCCACUCUCCAAACCUUCACACCCUUCUUCUCUUUUCUCUCAGCUAUGGCGGUUUCCGCGUGUGUGGUUAGAACAAACCCAUCCAUCUCUCCAUGUCUGAAAGCUCCAAGGCCAAGCCUCAGUGGCAGAAAACAGGUGACCCCUCACAUUCUGUUGGCUGUUGCAGCCAUUUGGGUUUCAUGUCUUUGUGCAAUUUCUUUUUAUAUGUACAUAUACAUUAUUAUAUGAUAUUGUUGUUGUUUUUGGUUUUGGAUCAUUCAAAUGGUUCAUGUUUUGAUGAUUCUGAUGUGGGUUUGCUGCCAUGGUCAUGGUCAUGGUUAUGGACGGCGAAAUGGCUGUCGAUCCGGGAUGGUGUUUUACAGUCCUGCUUGAGAGCUUGUGCCGCAAAUACUUCAGAUGGUGAGGAAGGGAACAAGAUGACCAGAAAAGAAAAGGACGGAGGGUGGAAGAUAGAAUUCACCGGAGAAAAACCUCCCACACCACUACUAGACACAAUCAAUUAUCCAGUCCACAUGAAAAACCUCUCCACCCAGGUGAACUCAUCAAUCAUCAUGGCGGUCAUAUGAUUUUGUUCAAUGGGUUUCUCCCCUCCCAAUUCCCAACCAGAUUCAACAGCUUUCUCCUGUGUUUUUUAUGAAUUGUUUUUGGCUUUGUUCAUUUGGUGUUUCAGGAUCUUGAACAACUAGCAGCAGAGCUUAGAGCAGAUAUCGUACAGAGUGUAUCAAAAACAGGUGGGCAUCUAAGCUCAAGCCUAGGAGUAGUGGAACUGACAGUGGCUCUUCAUCAUGUAUUCAACACCCCCGAAGACAAGAUCAUAUGGGAUGUUGGCCACCAGGUGAGGAGAUUUACUUUCCAUACACAAUGAGAUGAAAGCAUGUGUUCAAUGUUUUCAGUUGACUGAUAUCUCUUGAAGCUUUACCCAGUAAGAUACAAAAUUCCAUUGUAGUUUCAAAAGUUUAUUUCCAUUCUCUUUGGCUUGGAAUUAAGAAUAUGAAAAUAAAAAUGCAACCUUUUGAAAUAUAAAGAAUCUCUCCAAAAGAUAAGAAGAAUUAGAUUUUCCUUAGAUUUGUUUUUUGUUUUUAGAAUGCGUAUCUAAGGUUAUUUCAUUUUCAUUGUUAGGUUCAAUCUUAUGAGAUGUGAUUUGUCUCAAAUUCCCUUUUUUUUUUUUGGGUUUUAAUUUGCAAGCUUCCACUUUAUAUGAUUAAUUUCAUUAUUAGUUUAUACUCAAUUGAUAUUAAUUUGCUUUAUUGAUUUGUUCACUCCUUUCUCAAUUCUACUUUGUUUGACAUAUUUUCUUCCUUUUUAUGUUUGAGUAUAUAAUUAGAUGAUACUAUUUUCACUUUAUCUAACAUAUUGUCCCAUCAUUUUUUUCUUUUUCUUUUGAAUUGAUUUUAAUGUUUCCCUUUAUUUGAUCCAAUUUUAUUUUUUACCUUACCAAUAAUUGUCAUUGUUCACUUCAUUUAAUAUUUUUUGUUGAUCAAAUAUAGUCUAUUAUUAAGAAUAACUUUAUUUGACUUAAUUUCUUCUUCAUCAUACUGAAUUGUAUUUUCUAAUUUGAUGAUCUUAAAAAACGCAAACUUUUGCACUCGCUUUUAUUUUGUUUUAUGCUUUCAUUUUAUUGAAAUUGUAGAUAUAUUUUGAGAUGGAGAUAGGUCUAAAGUUAAUAUUUGGUUGAGGAUAAGGAAUACUAUUGAGAAUAUAUACAUAGCUAUUCAAGUGUAUUAAGAGCCAAAUAAGAUCUCAAGUUGACUUUUUUGAUUGAGAAGGAGGAAUAUUUAUUAAAAGAAUAUUAUUGACUUCCUUGCAAAUUGGGAACCAUUUCUUGUCUUUGUAAAAGCAAAAGAUUGAGUUUCUUCUUGAUUUAUUUUCAUGGGCAUCCAUUGAGAUUUCCUUUUUAUUUCUAAAGCACAAUUUUCUAAUUAUUUUAUUUUAUUUUUUCUCUUUCACUCAAGUUAUGAACCAAAGCUGAAGUAGGUCCCAAAUAUGCUAUUUUUGAAAAUAUUAAAUCUGCUUUCACCAUGUGAGCCUACUAAGGAAGAUGUUGAAACUAUUUCAUAUUUGGAAUCUAUUGCUUCAAGGUUUAGUUUCCCUAAGAGUAUUUCCUUUCACAUUCAUGGAGUUAGAAAUGCUAUUUUUGAAGUCAAAUUAACUAUUUUGAUCAAGAGGGAGGAAGUCCUAUUUUAUAAAUCUCCUCUUUGGCAGAUGGAAGGGUUUGAUUCCCUCCUGACUGUUGUGAUUGACAUCAAAGAUCUCAUUUUAACUUAUUUGGUUUGAAUGGGUCUCACCCUCUUUAGUUCUAAUGGUUCAAUUUCCUUUUCAUCAGUUUUCUAUUUUUUACAUGCUUUUUUGACAUGGGACGAGUGUUAGACUAAUUGUUUGGGUUUGGUAGAUAUUUGAUUUUGAUGGCUCCAACUAACUAUUAGAUUAAAAGCCCGUUUGGUAGUGAUUUUAGGAAACGCUUCUAAUUUUUUUAAUAUUUAAAUGGUAGAAAGAUUAGAAAUGUUUUAUAGAAUCACUAUCAAACAUACUUUUAAAGUAAGGAAUCUUAUUGAGAAUUUUGAGUAAGAGAAAUACAUCUUGCAGGCCUACCCGCACAAAAUUUUGACAGGAAGGAGGUCUAGGAUGCACACUAUCAGGAAAACCUCAGGUUUAGCAGGAUUUCCCAAAAGGGAAGAGAGCGUCCAUGAUGCUUUCGGUGUGGGACAUAGUUCUACCAGCAUCUCCGCUGGUCUUGGUAUGUUUUUCCGUUCUCUUUUUUCAUCUAUUUUGAGCAUACCUCCUUCAAACAUUUCUGUAUUGCAUUAAUAUAGAAUCAACACAACUAUUCUUGAUUUUCUGAAGGCAGUAGAUGGUAGAAACUUACUUUGAACUCCUAUACUCAUUUACUUGUUUUGUUGAAAACAUCGAAACCAUUGUAGGUAUGGCAGUAGGAAGGGAUCUUCUAGGGAAGACCAACAGUGUUGUUGCAGUGAUUGGGGAUGGAGCCAUGACUGCAGGGCAAGCAUAUGAGGCAAUGAACAAUGCAGGGUACCUUGAUACUAACAUGAUUAUCAUAUUAAAUGACAAUAAGCAAGUCUCUUUGCCCACGGCUACUCUUGACGGUCCUGCAAUUCCUGUUGGGGCCCUUAGUAGAACUUUAACCAAGCUCCAAUCAAGCACCAAGUUCCGCAAACUUCGUGAAGCUGCAAAAGUGAGCCUUGAUGCCUUUCAUUUGUUGCUUCCCUCUUGUUUGGAUUCUUUCUAUAAUAUUUCAAAUUUAAGAUUGAUUCAACUUGGUUUUGACCUGUAAAAGAGCAUCACGAAGCAGCUUGGAGGGCAAACAUUCGAAGUUGCAGCCAAGGUAGAUGAGUAUGCGAGGGGUCUGCUCAGCGCUAGCGGAUCUACUCUGUUUGAGGAGCUAGGGUUGUAUUACAUUGGUCCAGUGGAUGGUCACAAUGUUGACGAUCUAGUAGGCAUUUUUCAGAAAGUAAAAGCAAUGCCUGCACCAGGUCCAGUUCUGAUCCACAUUGUAACAGAGAAAGGGAAGGGUUAUCCUCCAGCCGAAGCAGCAGCUGAUAGAAUGCAUGGUAAGACUGCAACUUUAUAAUCCCAUUGCAUUAUGAAGCAUAAUAAUUUUUCUAAUUCUCUCUUUCUCUCAGGGGUUGUCAAGUUCGACCCCAAGUCAGGCCAGCAAUUUAAAUCCAAAUCCCCAACACUUCCAUAUACUCGGUACUUUGCUGAAUCUCUGAUUGGAGAAGCCAAGGUAGAUGACAAAAUUGUAGCCAUCCAUGCUGCAAUGGGUGGUGGGACUGGCCUCAAUUAUUUCCAGAAAAGGUUUCCUGAUCGUUGCUUUGAUGUGGGGAUUGCUGAGCAACAUGCUGUCACAUUUGCAGCUGGUUUAGCCACAGAGGGUCUCAAGCCAUUCUGUGCCAUCUACUCAUCCUUCCUGCAGCGAGGAUAUGAUCAGGUGUUAAUGCAGAAAAAAUAAUAACAAAAAUGAGAUACAAUUUGCUUCAGUGUCAUUCUUUAUAAUAAUAAUAAUAAUAAUAAUAAUAAUAAUAAUAAUAAUAAUAAUAAUAAUAAUAAUAAUAGUAAUAGUCAUAACAAUUGAUGGCAAAGGUUUAUACUAACAGUUUUUAAUGGCUAUGAAGGUGAUACAUGAUGUAGAUCUUCAAAAGCUACCAGUCCGAUUUGCUAUGGAUCGAGCUGGUCUGGUUGGUGCAGAUGGCCCUACUCAUUGUGGAGCAUUUGAUAUCACCUAUAUGGCUUGCUUGCCCAACAUGGUGGUCAUGGCUCCAUCUGAUGAAGCAGAGCUUAUGCACAUGGUUGCCACAGCAGCAGCCAUUGAUGACAGGCCUAGCUGCUUCAGGUUCCCGAGGGGAAAUGGAAUUGGAGCUGUUCUUCCACCUGAUAACAAAGGAACCCCACUUGAGGUUAGCAUAAUAACUGACCAACUUGCAAAUAGGUAAAAACAAAAAGGCCGCCAAACUGAAAGUUACAUGUAAUGUCUUUUAUUGUUCCAUAGAUUGGAAAGGGAAGAAUACUGGCAGAAGGCCAUAGGGUUGCUCUUCUGGGAUAUGGUUCUAUAGUUCAGCAAUGUGUUGAAGCUGCAAGCAUUCUUAGGUCCCAGAAUAUUUUUGUGACAGUAGUGGAUGCGAGGUUUUGCAAACCUUUGGAUGGAGAUCUCAUCAGGAGAUUGGCCAAAGAGCAUGAAAUCCUGAUCACUGUGGAGGAGGGUUCAAUUGGAGGUUUUGGAUCCCAUGUGUCUCACUUCCUGUGCUUAAAUGGUAUAAUGGAUGGACCCCUAAAGGUAAUUUUCCUUCACAUUAGAAAUUUUAAACCUUGAAUAUCAAUACUUCAUGUCCUAAAUUCUCCUUUUCUGGAUUUUGAUUCUGCUGGAUGCUUCUUCUCAGUUGAGAGCAAUGGUACUUCCUGAUAGAUACAUUGACCAUGGAUCACCUGAAGAUCAGAUUCAAGAAGCAGGGCUCUCUUCCAAGCAUAUCUCAGCAACAGUGCUAUCUCUCUUGGGAAGGCAAAAAGAAGCUCUCACCCUCAACCGAAUGCAUAUAUGAAAAGCAAGACUCCAUUCUACAAGUUUUGAAAUCCAUUCACUUCCUCAAAAGGUUUUGUUCUAGUUUUUCAGGAUGAGAAAAAAUACCAAGAUUCCGAUCCAAAAGCUCAUGCUUGGGAUUCCAAAAUACCAGGAUCUAGAACUCCUUGAAGAAUUUAUCCCAGCAUCUAAUCAACACACAACAUUGAUUAGGAAUUCUGGAGGUCAAGCCAUAAUCUGUGUUUGUGCAUAUUAUCUAUAUCCCAAUGUAAUGGAUACCAUAUCAGACAUGAAAUUUGGUAAAGUAUCAAAAGAAACAAGAGAAAAAGUUUUCGUGAAGGAAAUCUGUAUCCUCUUCAUGUUUUCUGUUUGUUUUAAUUUAGAAUCAUUGACCAGUUUGUAAGGAAUUUAGUCGUAUAAACCCCAUACCAAUUUGCAUUCCCACCUUUCUCAAAUUCUGAGAAAGGUGUCUCAUGAAUAGAUGUGCUAAUAAAUUGAUAAAUUAUGAGAGACCGUUAUGGUUGGUGCAUCAGUCAAGGGCUAUGUGCACAUGAAGAGCCCUCGAAUGAGAUAAAGACCUCAUGAACAAAUUCGCCAAUAACCACCAUGGGAAUUCAGUCCAUUUAUGAAAUGACGAAAGAUCAUUGCAUCUCUAGCAAUUACCUCUCUUCCAACACGUAUGGAGACAAAUUUUGUAAUACCUAGCACUAAUGAAUUAAAUAGGCAACAAUGAUUAUCUUAGUACUUAACUUUAAACGUGCUUAAUUAAAUGUUAAAACUAGUUUAGUGCUAAUAUUGUUUAAUUAUGAAUUAAACUUUGAUUAAGGUUAAGUGAGAUUAGUUAAUGACUUAAACAUGCUUAUUAGGUUCUUAUGGGCUGAUUAGAGUUUUGAAAACCUAAAGGACCAAUGGGCAAUUGUAAGUUUAAUAUUGGUUAAUUUGGAGGACUAAAGUGCAAUUAUGGAAAGUUGGGGUUGGUGGUAGCGAUGUGGCCUGCCACCUCCUACUUGGUUGCAUGGAGACCCCUUUGUAAGGGCUUGCAACUCAUUUUGCACCAUUUCACCGGUAAUAGCUUGGGUUAGAGAGAGGAUCUAGAGAGAGAAAGUGAAGAUUUGAGGUAAGCAAGUUGUUUAAUUUAGUAAUUUUGGUUUAUUUUAGUUCAUAAUGGUAUGUUGAAACAAAUUAAAGGUAAAAUUUGUGCAAAAGUUGAGUGUAAUUAGCUAAAAACAUGUUUUUAGUUAAAGAUCACAAUUAAUUAAGGAUUAAAGUGUUUUAGCUUAAGUAUUUUAUUAAUAGUAAGAUUAGCAUAAAUCUUUGUUUAGUUUGGUUUGAUUGAAAAAUAGAUUAGUAAAUAUGUAAUUAAUUAGGUUAUUUGGACACUUGGGAUUUGUUAUUGGGCUAGACUUUAAGAAAAUCAAAACAAUUAGUGUUUGGUAAUUAAUUAGGGAAUAUUAUUAUGCAUUGUAAAUAUUGUUUAAUUCAAUUUAAAUUUGAUUUGAAAACCUGUGGGCAUGUAGAUUAGAGAAUAUUAGAAUUGAAAAUUAGCAACAAUAAAUUGUAUAAAUUUUCAUAAUUAGGAAAUCUAAAUUAUGUGUUUCAUUUCAGUUCCUUGUAAUAGGUAAAGAUCGCCUACAUAGAAGAAUCACAAAGGGAAAGUCCGUGUAAGGUAGAGAAUUUUAUGUUGUUCUAUGGUGUACUUGAUUUCUUUCCUUGAAACAUUUAUGAGAAUUUCAUGUCAUUUCUAUGAUUUCAUAAAAUGUUUAAAUGUGUCAUUGCAUCUCAGUUUAUUAUAUUGAAAUGUUACAACGAUAUUAGAACGUAUAUUGGUAUGAAGAUUCAUGGUUCUGUGUUGCGAAAAUUAUUCAUGGUGUGGUUGCAUUGCAAGAAGGAUAUGGAAUAAUCACAUAUGAUAUUCAGAGAAUUGAUUGGUGGGAAGUGUUUAUGUGAUGCUACAAACAUUAUCCUUUGAUAUAUUAUUUAUGUGGAACCGUGGGUCAUUGGGUGAAAGUCCCUAAAGUCCUCGAGGAAGACACUCUGAUGUGGGUGUAUGGGGUUGGUCCUACCCCUGGGUUUUAGUCCCUAAAGACAUGGGGUUGGUCCUACCCUUGGGUAUGAGUCCCAAAAGACAUAGGGUAUGACUUGCCCUUAGGUGAUGUUCCAGAAUAGUCAUUAUUAUAUUGACCGAGUAUCUUGUGGAGCAUUGAUAUCUGAUAUGUAGAUUGGUGGGGGUUAGCAGUUUAUCAGUUGUAAAAGGAUGGAUGAGGAAAAGCAAAGAUGAAACCAACAAACACAUGCAUACAUGUUUGACAUGAUUACAUAUUUGUUAAUGAUUAUAAAACGUUUAUCAUGCAUGCUAUUAUACGUUUAAUUCAAGGUUUUAACGAUAUGCUUAGGAUGAUUAUAAACUUUCCUACUAAGUUGUGAACUCACCCUAUCCCUUCCAUCUUUAGAUGCAGGUCAGAAGACCUAUGCUAGAAAUAAUGCUUGAGCAUUACUUUAUGGUUGAUUGGAUGUUGUUUGCUCGCAUUGAAAGUGUUUUGAGGGUUUGCCUUUGUAUUAAAGACUAAAUCUUUUUGAAGUAAUGAUAUAAUGUAAAUUUGUUAUGUACACUUGUAGUAUGAGCUACCCAUGCUGAACCAUGGGAUUUUGGUAUAUGUAAAUUAACAUAGUACAAGUUUCUUUUGUGAAAUGAAUCAUAUUUUGUUAAGUAAUAGUUAUAAAGUUUAAUACAAGAUGUACUCUUUAUAACAGGUUUUGCAUAUUCUCUUUUUGCACAAAAUCAAGUAGGAACUCAACAUUUAAAUUUUUGUAUCCCCAUAUUUUUUUUAGAUCACUUAUACUGUAUUUGAGUAUCAAUUGUUAAGUUUGAAAAAAAACCAAGGUGUGACAAAUUUCAUCCAAAGAGACUCUUAAGGUUCUGGGGUAUUUUGGUAUAGGAUUCAUCUAAUUGAUUCUCUAUUAAGCAAAGUGUCAUAGACUUAGUAUUUUAGAGACUUGGACAACACAAGACACUUUUGCUAAGUCAACCUUCCACAAAUUAUGGACAGUGACAAAUUUCAUACCAUAGACUCUUAAGGUUCUUGAGAAUCCUUAUACUAGUGUAUCCUUAAAACGACUCAUCUUCAGAGCAAAGUGUCAUGGAUUUAGGUGUUUUUCAAGCAUCCAUGCGACACUUAGAUAACUCAAAACACUUAAAAGUUGAUAAGUCAGUCUUCCCUUGAUUUAGCUUGCUAUGUUAAGCAAUGCUUGUGAUAUGAAAGUUAUAGAUACAUAAAUGAAGCCACACUUAAGACAUUACUAUGUUAAUUAGUGCUACAUGACAUGAAAGUUAGAAAUACAUAAAGAAAGCAACACUUCAGAGAAUUUAAAAUAAUGAAAGCAUGCAUUACACAAGAAUACUUUAUAAGCCUUGAAAUCUCUCAAGUGUUUGAUGUGUUGGGUGAAUAGGAUCAUCACCUCUUUAGGAGCAUAUGUGGAAUUCUUUGGAAUGUUUAAUGCUUCCUACAAUUCUAAAUCAAUAUUCUAUAUACAAAUCAUAUACAAGAGUUUGCAAAAACAUUUUAGGAUACUUCACACAACUUUAAGGACUUCUACCCAUUUGGGCAGGGUGUGACAAAAGGUUAUAGUUAGCCUUUCAGACAUUUUUUUUCCGUCCACUUAUCCAAGUC